UAAAUAAAAUAAAUACAGGAGGAAGAUUUAUUUGAUGUUCUCUAAAUUCUUUGUAAAACUUGGAAGAACGCAGGCAGCAAAUUGCGAUAAAAUGGAGAGAGAUAAAAUAGAGAAGUGAAAUGUAGUUGGAGGAAGACAAGAUCAUGCUCAUUGUGCCUCCUCAGAACCCACUUCCAAUAGAAAAUAUAAAGGAGAUAUGUAUGUAUCCAUUUUAUGUUAUAAUCAUGUAGGACAUUGUUGUUUUAGGUUUGUCCCACAUCUGCAGAAUAAAUUGUAACAGUAGAAGUGCAACAUGCUAUUCAGAUGG